UUUUUAACAACAGGUUUUGACUAGAUCUAGUAAAGCGAUUAACUUGUCUAAAUUCAAAUUGGCCAAGAUAUUUCUGAAUAUGCAUGAUUACUGAGUACUGAUAAAGCUGUCUAAAUCUAAAAAUAUUAUUUUCUACAAAUAAUAAAUGUGUGUGUGUGUGUGUGUGUGUGUGUGUGUG